rnacentral:rRNA from 1 species
CUACGGGUCGCUGCAGUGGGGAAUUUUGGACAAUGGGCGCAAGCCUGAUCCAGCAAUGCCGCGUGCAGGAUGAAGGCCUUCGGGUUGUAAACUGCUUUUGUACGGAGCGAAAAGGCCCUCUCUAAUACGGGGGGCUCAUGACGGUACCGUAAGAAUAAGCACCGGCUAACUACGUGCCAGCAGCCGCGGUAAUACGUAGGGUGCGAGCGUUAAUCGGAAUUACUGGGAGUAAAGCGUGCGCAGGCGGUUUUGUAAGACAGAUGUGAAAUCCCCGGGCUCAACCUGGGACCUGCAUUUGUGACUGCAAGGCUGGAGUACGGCAGAGGGGGAUGGAAUUCCGCGUGUAGCAGUGAAAUGCGUAGAUAUGCGGAGGAACACCGAUGGCGAAGGCAAUCCCCUGGGCCUGUACUGACGCUCAUGCACGAAAGCGUGGGGAGCAAACAGGAUUAGAUACCCGUGUAGUC